rnacentral:rRNA from 1 species
GAUGAACGCUGGCGGCGUGCUUGACACAUGCAAGUCGAACGAAGCACUUUAUUUGAUUUCCUUCGGGACUGAUUAUUUUGUGACUGAGUGGCGGACGGGUGAGUAACGCGUGGGUAACCUGCCUUGUACAGGGGGAUAACAGUUGGAAACGGCUGCUAAUACCGCAUAAGCGCACGGCAUCGCAUGAUGCAGUGUGAAAAACUCCGGUGGUAUAAGAUGGACCCGCGUUGGAUUAGCUAGUUGGUGAGGUAACGGCCCACCAAGGCGACGAUCCAUAGCCGACCUGAGAGGGUGACCGGCCACAUUGGGACUGAGACACGGCCCAAACUCCUACGGGAGGCAGCAGUGGGGAAUAUUGCACAAUGGGCGAAAGCCUGAUGCAGCGACGCCGCGUGAGCGAAGAAGUAUUUCGGUAUGUAAAGCUCUAUCAGCAGGGAAGAUAAUGACGGUACCUGACUAAGAAGCACCGGCUAAAUACGUG